rnacentral:lncRNA from 11 species
GCUGCAGCAGCUCCAACCAAGAGGCCACAGAGACUCACGGAGAGGGAGAGAAACAGCGGAAUGGUGAAAUGGCGACCGCUCGACUACCUCCCGGUCUUCCUUCUCUUCCCACAACCUCUCGCUGCUUAGCCCGACACCGUAGGCUCUUGCCAACGCCAGCACCCCAACCCUCAGAGAGUUUACACUGGGGUUUUACCUCGAGCCCUGGGAACGCUCAGCUGGCCUGUCCUACAAAACUCUGGCUUUAAAAUAAUCUCACCAAAAUGAGAGACGUGCUGGUCUGUGAUUUCAGGAUGGUGUCCACUUGGACUAACAAGACUUUGAUUCCCGCAACAGCUCCAAACAACAUCUGGCUCCCCCCACCGCACCCCACAUAUACACACUAUUGGUGCACACAUACGCACACUCAUUUCCUGGCCCC